CUCGAAGGACGAACGCUGGCGGCGUGCCUAACACAUGCAAGUCGAACGAACUGAGGAGAGCUUGCUCUCCGAAGUUAGUGGCGGACGGGUGAGUAACGCGUGAGUAACCUGCCUAUUAGAGGGGGAUAACGUUUGGAAACGAACGCUAAUACCGCAUAAAACCACAGUAUCGCAUGAUACAAUGGUCAAAGGAGCAAUCCGCUGAUAGAUGGACUCGCGUCUGAUUAGAUAGUAGGCGGGGUAACGGCCCACCUAGUCUACGAUGUCUAGGGGGUUCUGAGAGGAAGGUCCCCCACACUGGAACUGAGACACGGUCCAGACUCCUACGGGAGGCAGCAGUGAGGAAUAUUGGUCAAUGGCCGGAAGGCUGAACCAGCCAAGUAGCGUGAAGGAUGAAGGUUCUAUGGAUUGUAAACUUCUUUUAUACGGGAAUAAAGCCCGCUACGUGUAGCGGUUUGUAUGUACCGUAUGAAUAAGCAUCGGCUAACUCCGUG
rnacentral:rRNA from 1 species